UAUCGCGUUAACUAUGAUGAUGAGAAUUGGCAAAGAAUUUCAAAUUAUCUAAACUCUGAUAAUUUUACGAAAAUUCAUGUUCUUAAUCGUGCCCAAAUUAUCGAUGAUGCAUUUCAUUUAAUGAUAGCAGACCACCUCAAGAUCUCUAUAUUCUGGGAUAUCACAUCGUAUUUGAGUAAAGAAGAAGAUUAUAUAGCAUGGUAUCCUAUGUUUAAAGCUCUGGAAUACAUGUUUAAUACUUUUCCUGCUGCGAUACUGGAAGAAAGCGAUUUGAGUUUUAUGAAAAGAAUAAGAAUCAUAUUAAGUAAGAUACUUAUAAAAAUCAAAUAUGAAGAAAUUGAUGAUUCAAACGAACUUAUAACAUGUUUACGACAAGAAGCUGCAAGAUGGGCAUGUUUUUUGGUGAGAACACUUGUACGGAAAAAGCGAAAAAUAAAUUAAAACAACAUCUCCAAGAUCCUAUAAAACACAGACUUUUGCCAUGGUGGAGGGAAUGGACAUAUUGUAGAGGUUUAAUGAAAACUACGAUAAAUGACAAUACUUGGACAUCAGUGUAUACCAGAGAAUUAAAAAAAAAUGACACUAAAUUUUUAAAAUAUGUGACUUGCAUUGAAGAUACUUAUUUUAUCAAGGAUUAUUUAUUAAAUUAUAAACAGUACACUUAUACAAAACAGAAAGAUCAAUUUCUCGCUAACAUUUUCUUAAAUAUUAUUACGAAGCAUGCGAAGAAUCCAAUUAUAUUGAUGUAUAUAUUAGAUAAGUUUAACGAAAUAAAACCAAAAAAUCUUAAUAUAAUUGCAGCAUUAAUU